GCCGGGGUGGCUUAGUAGGUGGAGCGCCGGACUCAUAAGAAUUUUUCUGAGAAAUCCGGAGGUCUCGGGUUCGAUCCCCGAUCCCGGCA
rnacentral:tRNA from 1 species